GUUCCGCUGCUUUUGACCCGUCUUGGUGGCGAUGCGCAGCUGUGCAGUGUGGUGCUUCUGCGUUCCGCUGUUUUUGACCCGUCUUGGUGGCGAUGCGCAGCAGUGCAGUGUGGUGCUUCUGCGUUCCGCUGCUUUUGACCCGUCUUGGUGGCGAUGCGCAGCUGUGCAGUGUGGUGCUUCUGCGUUCCGCUGUUUUUGACCCGUCUUGGUGGCGAUGCGCAGCUGUGCAGUGUGGUGCUUCUGCGUUCCGCUGCUUUUGACCCGUCUUGGUGGCGAUGCGCAGCAGUGCAGUGUGGUGCUUCUGCGUUCCGCUGCUUUUGACCCGUCUUGGUGGCGAUGCGCAGCUGUGCAGUGUGGUGCUUCUGCGUUCCGCUGCUUUUGACCGUCUUGGUGGCGAUGCGCAGCUGUGCAGUGUGGUGCUUCUGCGUUCCGCUGCUUUUGACCCGUCUUGGUGGCGAUGCGCAGCGUGCAGUGUGGUGCUUCUGCGUUCGCUGCUUUUGACCCGUCUUGGUGGCGAUGCGCAGCUGUGCAGUGUGGUGCUUCUGCGUUCCGCUGCUUUUGACCCGUCUUGGUGGCGAUGCGCAGCUGUGCAGUGUGGUGCUUCUGCGUUCCGCUGCUUUUGACCCGUCUUGGUGGCGAUGCGCAGCUGUGCAGUGUGGUGCUUCUGCGUUCCGCUGCUUUUGACCCGUCUUGGUGGCGAUGCGCAGCUGUGCAGUGUGGUGCUUCUGCGUUCCGCUGCUUUUGACCGUCUUGGUGGCGAUGCGCAGCUGUGCAGUGUGGUGCUUCUGCGUUCCGCUGCUUUUGACCCGUCUUGGUGGCGAUGCGCAGCUGUGCAGUGUGGUGCUUCUGCGUUCCGCUGCUUUUGACCCGUCUUGGUGGCGAUGCGCAGCUGUGCAGUGUGGUGCUUCUGCGUUCCGCUGCUUUUGACCCGUCUUGGUGGCGAUGCGCAGCUGUGCAGUGUGGUGCUUCUGCGUUCCGCUGCUUUUGACCCGUCUUGGUGGCGAUGCGCAGCUGUGCAGUGUGGUGCUUCUGCGUUCCGCUGCUUUUGACCCGUCUUGGUGGCGAUGCGCAGCUGUGCAGUGUGGUGCUUCUGCGUUCCGCUGCUUUUGACCGUCUUGGUGGCGAUGCGCAGCUGUGCAGUGUGGUGCUUCUGCGUUCCGCUGCUUUUGACCCGUCUUGGUGGCGAUGCGCAGCUGUGCAGUGUGGUGCUUCUGCGUUCCGCUGCUUUUGACCCGUCUUGGUGGCGAUGCGCAGCUGUGCAGUGUGGUGCUUCUGCGUUCCGCUGCUUUUGACCCGUCUUGGUGGCGAUGCGCAGCUGUGCAGUGUGGUGCUUCUGCGUUCCGCUGCUUUUGACCCGUCUUGGUGGCGAUGCGCAGCUGUGCAGUGUGGUGCUUCUGCGUUCCGCUGCUUUUGACCCGUCUUGGUGGCGAUGCGCAGCUGUGCAGUGUGGUGCUUCUGCGUUCCGCUGCUUUUGACCCGUCUUGGUGGCGAUGCGCAGCUGUGCAGUGUGGUGCUUCUGCGUUCCGCUGCUUUUGACCCGUCUUGGUGGCGAUGCGCAGCUGUGCAGUGUGGUGCUUCUGCGUUCCGCUGCUUUUGACCCGUCUUGGUGGCGAUGCGCAGCUGUGCAGUGUGGUGCUUCUGCGUUCCGCUGCUUUUGACCCGUCUUGGUGGCGAUGCGCAGCUGUGCAGUGUGGUGCUUCUGCGUUCCGCUGCUUUUGACCCGUCUUGGUGGCGAUGCGCAGCUGUGCAGUGUGGUGCUUCUGCGUUCCGCUGCUUUUGACCCGUCUUGGUGGCGAUGCGCAGCUGUGCAGUGUGGUGCUUCUGCGUUCCGCUGCUUUUGACCCGUCUUGGUGGCGAUGCGCAGCUGUGCAGUGUGGUGCUUCUGCGUUCCGCUGCUUUUGACCCGUCUUGGUGGCGAUGCGCAGCUGUGCAGUGUGGUGCUUCUGCGUUCCGCUGCUUUUGACCCGUCUUGGUGGCGAUGCGCAGCUGUGCAGUGUGGUGCUUCUGCGUUCCGCUGCUUUUGACCCGUCUUGGUGGCGAUGCGCAGCUGUGCAGUGUGGUGCUUCUGCGUUCCGCUGCUUUUGACCCGUCUUGGUGGCGAUGCGCAGCUGUGCAGUGUGGUGCUUCUGCGUUCCGCUGCUUUUGACCGUCUUGGUGGGUGGCGUGUGCAGUGUGUUUUUUUUUUUUUUUUUUUUUUGGUUCGCUGCUUUUGACCCGUCUUGGUGGCGAUGCGCAGCUGUGCAGUGUGGUGCUUCUGCGUUCCGCUGCUUUUGACCCGUCUUGGUGGCGAUGCGCAGCUGUGCAGUGUGGUGCUUCUGCGUUCCGCUGCUUUUGACCCGUCUUGGUGGCGAUGCGCAGCUGUGCAGUGUGGUGCUUCUGCGUUCCGCUGCUUUUGACCCGUCUUGGUGGCGAUGCGCAGCAGUGCAGUGUGGUGCUUCUGCGUUCCGCUGCUUUGAGUGGCGAUGCGCAGCAGUGCAGUGUGGUGCUUCUGCGUUCCGCUGCUUUUGACCCGUCUUGGUGGCGAUGCGCAGCUGUGCAGUGUGGUGCUUCUGCGUUCCGCUGCUUUUGACCCGUCUUGGUGGCGAUGCGCAGCUGUGCAGUGUGGUGCUUCUGCGUUCCGCUGCUUUUGACCCGUCUUGGUGGCGAUGCGCAGCUGUGCAGUGUGGUGCUUCUGCGUUCCGCUGCUUUUGACCCGUCUUGGUGGCGAUGCGCAGCUGUGCAGUGUGGUGCUUCUGCGUUCCGCUGCUUUUGACCGUCUUGGUGGCGAUGCGCAGCUGUGCAGUGUGGUGCUUCUGCGUUCCGCUGCUUUUGCCCGUUUGGUGGCGAUGGCCAGCUGUGCAGUGUGGUGCUCUGCUUCCGUGUUUUGACCGUUUGUGCGAUGCGCAGCUGUGCAGUGUGGUGCUCUGCGUUCCGCUGCUUUUGACCCGUCUUGGUGCGAUGCGCAGCAGUGCAGUGUGGUGUUCUGCGUUCCGCUGGCUUUGACCCGUCUUGGUGCAUGCGCAGCUGUGCAGUGUGGUGCUUCUGCGUUCCGCUGCUUUUGACCCGUCUUGGUGGCGAUGCGCAGCUGUGCAGUGUGGUGCUUCUGCGUUCCGCUGCUUUUGACCCGUCUUGGUGGCGAUGCGCAGCUGUGCAGUGUGGUGCUUCUGCGUUCCGCUGCUUUGACCCGUCUUGGUGGCGAUGCGCAGCUGUGCAGUGUGGUGCUUCUGCGUUCCGCUGCUUUUGACCCGUCUUGGUGGCGAUGCGCAGCGUGCAGUGUGGUGCUUCUGCGUUCCGCUGCUUUUGACCCGUCUUGGUGGCGAUGCGCAGCUGUGCAGUGUGGUGCUUCUGCGUUCCGCUGCUUUUGACCCGUCUUGGUGGCGAUGCGCAGCUGUGCAGUGUGGUGCUUCUGCGUUCCGCUGCUUUUGACCCGUCUUGGUGGCGAUGCGCAGCUGUGCAGUGUGUGCUUCUGCGUUCCGCUGCUUUGACCCGUCUGGUGGCGAUGCGCAGCUGUGCAGUGUGGUGUUCUGCGUUCCGCUGCUUUUGACCCGUCUUGGUGGCGAUGCGCAGCUGUGCAGUGUGGUGCUUCUGCGUUCCGCUGCUUUUGACCCGUCUUGGUGGCGAUGCGCAGCUGUGCAGUGUGGUGCUUCUGCGUUCCGCUGCUUUUGACCCGUCUUGGUGGCGAUGCGCAGCAGUGCAGUGUGGUGCUUCUGCGUUCCGCUGCUUUUGACCCGUCUUGGUGGCGAUGCGCAGCUGUGCAGUGUGGUGCUUCUGCGUUCCGCUGCUUUUGACCCGUCUUGGUGGCGAUGCGCAGCUGUGCAGUGUGGUGCUUCUGCGUUCCGCUGCUUUUGACCCGUCUUGGUGGCGAUGCGCAGCUGUGCAGUGUGGUGCUUCUGCGUUCCGCUGCUUUUGACCCGUCUUGGUGGCGAUGCGCAGCUGUGCAGUGUGGUGCUUCUGCGUUCCGCUGCUUUUGACCCGUCUUGGUGGCGAUGCGCAGCUGUGCAGUGUGGUGCUUCUGCGUUCCGCUGCUUUUGACCCGUCUUGGUGGCGAUGCGCAGCUGUGCAGUGUGGUGCUUCUGCGUUCCGCUGCUUUUGACCCGUCUUGGUGGCGAUGCGCAGCUGUGCAGUGUGGUGCUUCUGCGUUCCGCUGCUUUUGACCCGUCUUGGUGGCGAUGCGCAGCAGUGCAGUGUGGUGCUUCUGCGUUCCGCUGCUUUUGACCCGUCUGGUGGCGAUGCGCAGCUGCAGUGUGGUGCUUCUGCGUUCCGCUGCUUUGACCCGUCUUGGUGGCGAUGCGCAGCUGUGCAGUGUGGUGCUUCUGCGUUCCGCUGCUUUUGACCCGUCUUGGUGGCGAUGCGCAGCUGUGCAGUGUGGUGCUUCUGCGUUCCGCUGCUUUUGACCCGUCUUGGUGGCGAUGCGCAGCUGUGCAGUGUGGUGCUUCUGCGUUCCGCUGCUUUUGACCCGUCUUGGUGGCGAUGCGCAGCAGUGCAGUGUGGUGCUUCUGCGUUCCGCUGCUUUUGACCCGUCUUGGUGGCGAGGCAGCUGUGCAGUGGGUGCUUCUGCGUUCCGCUGCUUUUGACCCGUCUUGGUGGCGAUGCGCAGCUGUGCAGUGUGGUGCUUCUGCGUUCCGCUGCUUUUGACCCGUCUUGGUGGCGAUGCGCAGCUGUGCAGUGUGGUGCUUCUGCGUUCCGCUGCUUUUGACCCGUCUUGGUGGCGAUGCGCAGCAGUGCAGUGUGGUGCUUCUGCGUUCCGCUGCUUUUGACCCGUCUUGGUGGCGAUGCGCAGCUGUGCAGUGUGGUGCUUCUGCGUUCCGCUGCUUUUGACCCGUCUUGGUGGCGAUGCGCAGCUGUGCAGUGUGGUGCUUCUGCGUUCCGCUGCUUUUGACCGUCUUGGUGGCGAUGCGCAGCGUGCAGUGUGGUGCUUCUGCGUUCCGCUGCUUUUGACCCGUCUUGGUGGCGAUGCGCAGCUGUGCAGUGUGGUGCUUCUGCGUUCCGCUGCUUUUGACCCGUCUUGGUGGCGAUGCGCAGCGUGCAGUGUGGUGCUUCUGCGUUCCGCUGCUUUUGACCCGUCUUGGUGGCGAUGCGCAGCUGUGCAGUGUGGUGCUUCUGCGUUCCGCUGCUUUUGACCCGUCUUGGUGGCGAUGCGCAGCUGUGCAGUGUGGUGCUUCUGCGUUCCGCUGCUUUUGACCCGUCUUGGUGGCGAUGCGCAGCUGUGCAGUGUGGUGCUUCUGCGUUCCGCUGCUUUUGACCCGUCUUGGUGGCGAUGCGCAGCAGUGCAGUGUGGUGCUUCUGCGUUCCGCUGCUUUUGACCCGUCUUGGUGGCGAUGCGCAGCAGUGCAGUGUGGUGCUUCUGCGUUCCGCUGCUUUUGACCCGUCUUGGUGGCGAUGCGCAGCUGUGCAGUGUGGUGCUUCUGCGUUCCGCUGCUUUUGACCCGUCUUGGUGGCGAUGCGCAGCUGUGCAGUGUGGUGCUUCUGCGUUCCGCUGCUUUUGACCCGUCUUGGUGGCGAUGCGCAGCUGUGCAGUGUGGUGCUUCUGCGUUCCGCUGCUUUUGACCCGUCUUGGUGGCGAUGCGCAGCUGUGCAGUGUGGUGCUUCUGCGUUCCGCUGCUUUGACCCGUCUUGGUGGCGAUGCGCAGCUGUGCAGUGUGGUGCUUCUGCGUUCCGCUGCUUUUGACCCGUCUUGGUGCGAUGCGCAGCUGUGCAGUGUGGUGCUUCUGCGUUCCGCUGCUUUUGACCCGUCUUGGUGGCGAUGCGCAGCAGUGCAGUGUGGUGGUUCUGCGUUCCGCUGCUUUUGACCCGUCUUGGUGGCGAUGCGCAGCAGUGCAGUGUGGUGCUUCUGCGUUCCGCUGCUUUUGACCCGUCUUGGUGGCGAUGCGCAGCUGUGCAGUGUGGUGCUUCUGCGUUCCGCUGCUUUUGACCCGUCUUGGUGGCGAUGCGCAGCUGUGCAGUGUGGUGCUUCUGCGUUCGCUGCUUUUGACCCGUCUUGGUGGCGAUGCGCAGCUGUGCAGUGUGGUGCUUCUGCGUUCCGCUGCUUUUGACCGUCUUGGUGGCGAUGCGCAGCUGUGCAGUGUGGUGCUUCUGCGUUCCGCUGCUUUUGACCCGUCUUGGUGGCGAUGCGCAGCAGUGCAGUGUGGUGCUUCUGCGUUCCGCUGCUUUUGACCCGUCUUGGUGGCGAUGCGCAGCUGUGCAGUGUGGUGCUUCUGCGUUCCGCUGCUUUUGACCCGUCUUGGUGGCGAUGCGCAGCUGUGCAGUGUGGUGCUUCUGCGUUCCGCUGCUUUUGACCCGUCUUGGUGGCGAUGCGCAGCUGUGCAGUGUGGUGCUUCUGCGUUCCGCUGCUUUUGACCCGUCUUGGUGGCGAUGCGCAGCUGUGCAGUGUGGUGCUUCUGCGUUCCGCUGCUUUUGACCCGUCUUGGUGGCGAUGCGCAGCUGUGCAGUGUGGUGCUU
rnacentral:rRNA from 1 species